rnacentral:misc_RNA from 1 species
GUUGCUAUAGUUUAACAAAACAUUAGAAUGUGAGACUAAAAAUAGGAGAUAAACCCUCCUUAGCAACCGAAGAGAACCCUCGUAUAAAGAACUGCUAAUUCCAAAACCUGGGGUUAAACUCCCCAGACUCUUCACUUUUAAAGGAUAGAAGCAUAAUCCAUUGGUCUUAGGCACCANAACUCU